UUAAAGCAAUUUUCUUUCUUUUCAGACCAUAAAUUACAAGCAUAGCAUCAUCAACGGUGAUUGCAAGGAAAACUACUGCAAUCCCUGCGGUUUUUCCUCUUGGUAAAUACGAUCUGGACGUGACCAAGUGUGGUCUUCCAAAUCAGCCGGAAUCCCCACACAUCUAUUGUAUAAUACAAAACGCACUCCUUCGAAAUCUCUCGCUUCUGCUGUAGCAAUAAGUGUGGCUGCAAUAUAUUGGCCAUUAGCUCCAGCGACAUGUAGAGCAUGUUAAACAUUUUUACUUGUAUUUGUAGGAGCAUCUGACAAAAUACAAAACAUGACGAGAGACUUGAAAUUGAAGAUGAUCAAGAGUACACAACGUUGGAAACUAAGAACAUGAAGCUAAAGCAUCGAUUAACAAUUCUGAAUAAGGCUAUUGUUACAGAACAAAACGCCGCAACCUCUUCUGUUUUUGGUAAAUAUGUACCAGCGGUACUGCCCACCGCCGUCGGUGCAAUGAUUUCGAUAGCACAACAAAUGCCAUUUCCUGGGCAUUCCCCACAACUUGCCGACACCAGCUAUUAUAUCACGUGUGAAUGCAACUGCGGCUAAAUAAGUCGCCCAGAGAUAUAGCCAACGAAAUAAAUAAACAUGGUGUUCAAUCGCUACUUGUGGCUUAAACUGAGGUUGCAAGUUCUCGCUUCAUUAAUGUGUUUCUCUAAAAGUAUACAGUUUAUAGUUAUGUUAGUGCAAAUAUUU